AGCUGCAACUCUUUGUUGAUCUGUCCAUCCAAGGAAUUCAGAAACCCCACCAAUUCCAGCAAACUUAAGAGGCUGAGGACCUUCUAUGACAAGAUCCUCUUCUGCAGCAGCCUCAAGGCCCCCUUGAACCCAAUAAAGGUUUCUGUAACCAGAAUUGCACAGCAACUCACAAGCAGCUAGAGAUCUCAAUCCUCUCUGGCAUGCAACUAUCAGGUCUGCAUCUUUUGGAAACUUCUCCUCAACCUUUGAUAAGAACUGGUUAUCAUAAGACAACGAAGGCACACCACUCCACCAGCCUCCCAUUAUAAAAUUUGUGAUCUUUCUUGAAAU
rnacentral:misc_RNA from 1 species